CCUACGGGUGGCAGCAGUGAGGAAUAUUGGUCAAUGGGCGCGAGCCUGAACCAGCCAAGUCGCGUGAGGGAGGACGGCCCUACGGGUUGUAAACCUCUUUUGCCGGGGAGCAACGGGCGCCACGUGUGGCGUCACUGAGAGUACCCGGAGAAAAAGCAUCGGCAAACUCCGUGCCAGCAGCCGCGGUAAUACGGGGGAUGCGAGCGUUAUCCGGAUUUAUUGGGUUUAAGGGGUGCGUAGGCGGAUCGUUAAGUCAGUGGUCAAAUUGGGGGGCUAAACCCCUUACCGCCAUUGAAACUGGCGUUCUUGAGUGGAAGAGAAGUAUGCGGAAUGCGUGGUGUAGCGGUGAAAUGCAUAGAUAUCACGCAGAACCCCGAUUGCGAAGGCAGCAUGCCGGCUUCCGACUGACGCUGAAGCACGAAAGCAUGGGGAUCGAACAGGAUUAGAUACCCUGGUAGUC
rnacentral:rRNA from 1 species